rnacentral:lncRNA from 1 species
GGGUUUAGAGUUAAAGGGUGGAGUUUAGGGUUUAGGGUUUAGAGUUUAGGGUUUAUGGUUUAGGGUUUAGGGUUUAAAGUUUAGGGUUUAGGGUUUAGAGUUUAGGGUUUAGGGUUUAGAGUUGAGAAAUGAGGUUUUGGGGAUAAGAUUUCAAAUUUUGAAAAAUAAAAAAAUUAAAAUUUUCAAAGGAUAAAUUUAGAAAAGUGCUAUUUUGGUCAUUUUAGUUUUUGAAUGCUAUUUUUGUGAUA